CUCCCCCACUCACACUCUGUCUCUCUCUCAAAAAUGAAUAAACUUAAAAAAAUUUUUUUAAAUACGUAUGUCUGAUUGAGGUGUCCUAUAAAACUCAUUUAUACUAGCGUAUCAGCAGGCACAUAGGACUAAUAGGAAUUGUGUUCCAAUUUUGGAAAUUGAGAGGAAGUUAGAGUAGGAGAGGAAUUUGGAAAAGCACUGGACUAGGAUAAUUAGAUAAUAGUUAAUAUUUAUUGUGCAGUGGGUACCAGGUAGUAUUGUAGUUGUUCUACAUUUAGUCCUUGUGUCAGUCCUAUGAGGUAGGUGUGACGAUUUCCAUCAUUUUUAAACAUGAGGAACAUGAGACCUAGAAGGGGUAAAUAAUCUACUCAAGGUCACACAGCUAGGAAAUGGCGGAGACUCCUAGUUGCCUACCCAGUAUUCAUCCCUUUCUUCUUUAGUCAGUGGAACCCUGUAUUGCCAAAUGUGGCAAUGUGCCCACCUAGGAAACUUCUCCCAGCCUACUAAUGAAACGCAAGUAAAAGUCUAUUGGGGUUUCUAGGAAAGUGCUUUCAAGGGGACUUGGCUGUACAGAAUAUCCUUUUUUGCCCUUCCUUCCCUCUCCUACCAGGAAUAAGGAGGUGUAGCUCACAGCAGCCAUCCCAGGCCAUGAGGUUACCUUGACGAUGGAAGUCAUGCACUGAGAAUGGUGGAGCAGAAACAUCAAUGGAAUCUUAGUUCUUAGUGAUAACAGAGUCAUCAUAUGUGCUUUUUGAUCGCCUGCCUCCUCCUUUAUUUGAGAAAACAUAAACUGUCUGGUUAAAGCCACUAUUAUCUUAGGCCUGUACAACUAGUAGCUGAAUGCAAUUCCUGACCGAUGAAAAUUCUAACUUGAUUUUAUUUUCUCUUCUUACCACGAGGCUUAACGCAUUUUAAUAAUAGGAAGUUACCUUAGGGUACCUAGAUUCUUGUUGCUGUUUUGUUCUUUAUUAUAAUGUGACCUUGGGUAGAUCACUUAGAGCCACCCCCCUCCUUUUGCAUCUUUUGAAUGGGAAUUAUUCAUUCUCUAACUACUUUAUAAGUUUAUUAUAGGGAACGUGUUUCUGAACUUCCAAGUUGUCUUGUGUGAUGUAUAGUUCUUAAAGAGGGUCAUGGUCUUUCUAGGACAUUCUAUAGGAAGCCUAUAGAAUCUGAAAGCAAUUUUCUAAUGUUGUCAUUUUGCUUAUUGCCAGGUUUGAAUAUUUCUCAGGGAAUAAAUAAAUGGAAGCUGCGAAGGGAGGUGAUUUUGUCCCUACUCUGAUACCUAUCAGUAGCUUAACAAUUGCAUUACUGAUGAGCCCUAUAUUUUGUGCCAGGGCUGCCGCUUAGGAUGCAGAGUUCAUUUGUGUUUGAUAUGGCUGCUUUUAUUGUACUGGAGCAUUGUUUCCUGAAGAUGCAUUAAUCAAGGAAUCAGUAUACUGGAAGGUAACUAAAUGCUUUUGCUCUGAGAGCUAGCCAAGAACAAGGGGCGCAGAAGGAAAUGUUUGCAUAACAUGGGGAGAAUUUUUCUAGCAAUAAAAAUCAUCAUUUCCAGAUAGUUCUUUGAAACUAUUACAGGGGUGUUCACAAAAAACUGGAAGGCCUCCAGCAUGGGGCCACCCAUGUAAAUGAUCCCUUUUUUGUCACUACCCCCCUUGUUUCUUUAUUUCCCCACAAGAACUCCCCGCACCCCACAGAGUGGAGAUAACUGGAGCUAUCUGGGAUUGUAAAGUACAUUUGUGUUACGCUGUUGAAGUACAACUAUUGCCAGUGGAGGGUGUGGUUUGGUAGUAGAAUUCAUUUGGAAUAAGAAUUGCAUUUGAAUAUUACUCUUAAUUAGAUGCUUAAUAACAUGAAAUGCCUAGUAUCAGAAACAUUUCACCUCCUGUACUGUUCUAUUCCUGUUUCUUCUUAGAAAAUUUCUUGAGAUAUUCAACUUUGUAACAUGGUAUGGAGUAUUUUUCACAUUUCGGUAGCAAUGGUGCUUCUCAAACUUUAAUAUACCAUAUGCCUACAAGUCCCCUGGAGAUCUUAACAAAUGUGAUGCCUAAUUUAAUAGGUUUGGGAUGGAGCCUGAGAUUUCUGCAUUUCUAACUCCAGGUGAUGCUGCUGCUGCUGUUGGUCCCUGGACCACAUUUUGAGUAACAAUGCCCACAGUUACCUCUGCACCUCAGUGCUGGGGCUCUUAACACUGUCUGGGCAUCAGAAUCAGGUGGAGAGCUUUAAAAAAGACAUAUGCACCUGACCCCAUUGUCAGAUUUCCUGAUUAAUUCCUUCUGGAAUAGUUGGGAGUUUUGAAGUUUUGAAGGUGAGACUCACUGGCUUAGCGUCCUAUUAAAGAAUGUGAUGUUGAGUGGUUUCAGUGUGAUUUCUUGUAACUUGAAUUGUUACAUGUUUUCCUCAUACGUAAUUCAUGUUGUGAUGACUUGUAGUCAAACAGAAUCCACCAUGCAUUUUAUAUAGGGAUUUUAUUUAAUCCUGUGUUAUCUUGUAGAAUAACGAGGCUGCACAUAAAGAAUGUUGUAAGACACUAUCGUUGAAGUAACGGGAAAGCAAUAUAUGUGAUAGUUAUGUUUCUUAGAGUGCAAGAAAUAGAGGUCUGUUUGGCUAAACACAGCUGAUGACGGCUUAUUAUAAGGAUACAUAGGUAAGUUAGUUGGAAGACCAAGGAAAUAGCUUCAGCAGUCCUUUGUGAAUAAGAGUAGCUCUGGGAAACGGAUAGUAAACAGCUACUCCAGAGAACAUUUCUUUGUGAGUUGGGAUAACUGUUACUCGUAUGUCAGUGACACCACCAUUUUUGUGACAUAGUUUACUUCUGUCUACUUCCAUGGUUUCUGAAGUUACUGAAUAACUGGCUGUCUCUUGUUUUUCUUACAGUCAGCCUCUCCAAGAAAGAGGCUUUAAGUAAGUUGGCCAGCCACUGUCCUGCACCCUUGUGGGCAGGGUUCUCAGGCCACAUUACUUCAGAGGCGCAGGGCAAACUAUAGAUAGCUACCUUUUUGGACCCAUCCCCGAUCCCUUAUCCUAGGAACUUGAGGGGUAUAUACGGUAGGGCCUGGAGUACCUGCAGAGGAGAGUUGAGAAUCACCUGCAGCUGCUUCUAUCAGGCCUUUGGAUCUGGGGGAUGUUAAGAGGUUUAUUAGAAUGAAGAGGGUAAAAUUGGCAGACUCCAUGUAUGACCUGAAUGCUCUGACUUCUAGUAAUGAGUUCCACGAGGGGAGAGACUUAACGUUUUUUCAUUGUUAUGGCCUCAUAACUCAGAACAGUGACUGGCACAUAUAUUCAAUACGUAGCUGCAAAAUAGAAUAGAAUUGAACUCUUAGGAAAUGAUUUAAUGCGUUUAUUAUUUAAUUACAUUUCAUUUUGAGCAAAUCCUUUUAUACCCAAUGAUGGAAAGUAAAUUCCUACUCUGUCCAUGGCCUACCCUGUUGAGAAGAGACCGUAGGCCCUGACGCUAAAGAUCUUCACGUUUUCCUGUUUCCUUUCUGGUUUAAGAGCUUUGGUAUCAUCAGUAAGGCUGGUACCAGGCUUUGGGCUGAAAAGGAAGCAAAUGGAUGUCAAGUCCAGAGCUGGGAGUCCUUCCGAAUGGCCUCCCUUCUGGGUCUCCUAGGCCUCCGAGGGGUCUUGAACUCCCGGGCACGGUGGGUGGGCGUGGCAGGGCCUCCGCAGGGGGUUGUGGGUUCUCUGGCCGAGCGGCUGCUUCCGGCAGACGGCGCCGCCAUCUUGGGUCCCGAUUGAACCCGCUUUUAAAGUUCAAACAUAGAUUUGGAUGCUUGACCAAGAAAAGGAGGCUAAUUUUCAGCCAUCAGAUUGCUUCUUAGCAGAUCACCAGAAAACUUCAACUGGAAAAGGGAAAACAAACAGAUCAUAUAUUGUUAUUUGUUAGACACCUAUAUCUGUCAUAAAUCUGUCAUGUUUUGUUUUUAAUGCUGGGGUUACCAACAACCUCUAGAGCUCAAUAUCUUAUAUAAGUUAUAUUCAACUGGUGAGCUGUAGCCCAGCCUUCCUUGUCUUCUUCAUUCUGGGAUUCUGGCUGAAGGAGCAAUCUCUUAACUGGGAAAAAGAACAAUGGACAAAUCAUGUGCCACCUUUUAAAACUUCUAUUCAGAAGUAGCUUAUAUUACUUCUACUCACAUUUCUUUGGCCAACAGUGUUAGUGGGCAGGGAAGUGGAGUCUUUCUGCAGGAGGCCCUGCAAGUCACCUGGUACCUUGAGUGGGUGGAUAAUCCCUCAGGGAGAGCAGUGAGUCAUUGGCAACAACAUCGUCUACCACAGCCUUCUUAAAAGGUUCGCUAGUGUGAAUAAAUUGGAACUAUGGCAAAAACUUGGUUUUAAGAUUCUUUGUGUGUUAUUUUUCAUGAACUUUUGUAACUAGAAAUUGGCGCAUUGAGCUUUUGGAAUAUAUUGUAAUUCAAUUUGCUUAUUAAAUAAAUGCUCACUGUUAAGAAUGUAA